rnacentral:rRNA from 1 species
CACUCUAGAGAGACUGCCAGGGAUAACCUGGAGGAAGGUGGGGAUGACGUCAAAUCAUCAUGCCCCUUAUGCUUAGGGCUACACACGUGCUACAAUGGGUAGUACAGAGGGUUGCCAAGCCGUAAGGCGGAGCUAAUCCCUUAAAGCUACUCUCAGUUCGGAUUGUAGGCUGAAACUCGCCUACAUGAAGCUGGAGUUACUAGUAAUCGCAGAUCAGAAUGCUGCGGUGAAUGCGUUCCCGGGUCUUGUACACACCGCCCGUCACACCACGGGAGUUGGAGACGCCCGAAGCCGAUUAUCUAACCUUUUGGAAGAAGUCGUCGAAGGUGGAAUCAAUAACUGGGGUGAAGUCGUAACAAGGUAGCCGUAUCGGAAGGUGCGGCUGGAUCACCUCCUUUCUAAGGAGA